rnacentral:rRNA from 1 species
UACGUAGGGUGCAAGCGUUAAUCGGAAUUACUGGGCGUAAAGCGUGCGCAGGCGGUUGUGCAAGACAGAGGUGAAAUCCCCGGGCUUAACCUGGGAAUGGCCUUUGUGACUGCACGGCUAGAGUGUGUCAGAGGGGGGUAAAAUUCCACGUGUAGCAGUGAAAUGCGUAGAGAUGUGGAGGAAUACCGAUGGCGAAGGCAGCCCCCUGGGAUAACACUGACGCUCAUGCACGAAAGCGUGGGGAGCAAACAGG